rnacentral:rRNA from 1 species
AGGCCUAACACAUGCAAGUCGAGCGGAUGACGGGAGCUUGCUCCUUGAUUCAGCGGCGGACGGGUGAGUAAUGCCUAGGAAUCUGCCUGGUAGUGGGGGACAACGUUUCGAAAGGAACGCUAAUACCGCAUACGUCCUACGGGAGAAAGCAGGGGACCUUCGGGCCUUGCGCUAUCAGAUGAGCCUAGGUCGGAUUAGCUAGUUGGUGGGGUAAUGGCUCACCAAGGCGACGAUCCGUAACUGGUCUGAGAGGAUGAUCAGUCACACUGGAACUGAGACACGGUCCAGACUCCUACGGGAGGCAGCAGUGGGGAAUAUUGGACAAUGGGCGAAAGCCUGAUGCAGCCAUGCCGCGUGUAUGA